UAAAUCAUAUCGAUACCUGUCGUACUGGCAGCUAUCCGAGUAUUUUGCUAAGCGGCGCACGACAAAAAUAAUCGGCAACAUAUCGCCUAUCGGCGGGCCGCCAUAAUCUGUAGUGAGAACAACAAAUGUGCGAGCGGUUGUCCAGGAACUGCAAAAAUUUUUGCAAUAUGUUGGCGCAGGUUCAACGAAAAGUAUGAGAAAAAUGUUUAAAAA
rnacentral:sRNA from 1 species